UACGGAGGGUGCGAGCGUUAAUCGGAAUUACUGGGCGUAAAGGGCGCGUAGGCGGUGGGUUACGUCUGCCGUGAAAUCCCCGGGCUCAACCUGGGAAUGGCGGUGGAAACGGGCUGACUGGAGUAUGGGAGAGGGUGAUGGAAUUCCAGGUGUAGCGGUGAAAUGCGUAGAGAUCUGGAGGAACAUCAGUGGCGAAGGCGGUCACCUGGCCCAAUACUGACGCUGAGGCGCGAAAGCGUGGGGAGCAAACAGG
rnacentral:rRNA from 1 species